rnacentral:lncRNA from 1 species
AUGGAGAUCCUUAUUAGAUUAACACCGCGUGUGCGCUGUCUACUUUUUAACAGUGGUGAUUUAGUCCAAGGACUCCUGGUGACUUUCCUAACACAAUCACGUUCUAGAAAGCAUUAUGAAGGGAAAAUGGAGAGUUUGUUUGGGAGGGCCAGUAAUGAGGCAGAUCAUAAUCAUCAAAGUCAUAAUUCCACUUGUGGUCAGCCACUUACUGGACCUGGUGAAUCAGAUUCAGUCUCUGUGAUAUACCCUGAGCAGAGAUGGGGCAGAGAAGAUGAUUUAGACCAGAGCAAGCUACUUCCUGAGCAACCGGACAGCAGGUACUAUGAAGAGCUCAUCCGGCCUAAAAAGCUCCACAAUCCCAUCAAAACAUCCAAGAGCCACCGGGAACUCCAGAGAGAGCUGAUUAUUACACACAAAAGUUGCACACUGGCAAAGAAUUUGAGUUUGAAACAAUUUUUAACCACGAACAAGCUUAGUUGCAGCCUUAAUGUAUCACCUGACCCAAUUCCUAAUCUCAAUUCAAACGCGGUUUAA